GAACGGUAAGUUGUGUAGCAAUACAUGACCUAGAGUGUCGUAAGGGUGCGUAACACGUAUGCAAUCUGCCCUCAACAGGAGGAUAGCUCGCCGAAAGGCGAAUUAACACUCCAUAAGAUCACAUGACGGCAUCGUCGAGUGAUUAAAACUCCGGUGGUUGAGGAUGAGCAUGCGGAUGAUUAGCUAGUUGGUGAGGUAACGGCUCACCAAGGCGAUGAUCAAUAGGGGAACUGAGAGGUUGAUCCCCCACACUGGCACUGAGAUACGGGCCAGACUCCUACGGGAGGCAGCAGUAGGGAAUAUUGGACAAUGGGCGCAAGCCUGAUCCAGCCAUGCCGCGUGCAGGAAGAAGGCCUUCUGGGUUGUAAACUGCUUUUGCCAGGGGAUAAAAAGUCCCUGCGGGGAAAAUUGAAGGUACCUGGUGAAUAAGCCACGGCUAACUACGUGCCAGCAGCCGCGGUAAUACGUAGGUGGCAAGCGUUGUCCGGAUUUAUUGGGUUUAAAGGGUGCGUAGGCGGUGUCCUAAGUCAGUUGUGAAAUACGGCAGCUUGACUGUCGAGGUGCAAUUGAUACUGGGAUACUUGAGUACUGAUGAGGUAUGCGGAAUGGACGGUGUAGCGGUGAAAUGCUUAGAUAUCGUCCAGAACACCGAUAGCGAAGGCAGCAUACUAAGGAGUAACUGUCGCUGAG
rnacentral:rRNA from 1 species